rfam:Ciona savignyi cont_37548, whole genome shotgun sequence.
GCUUAUCACCAUUCCAGAUUGAAUAUACCUGAUCUCGGAAGUCAAGCAAUGUCGGGCUUGGUUAGUACUUGGAUGGGUGACCGCUUGGGAAUAACAAGUGUGAUAAGCA